CUCAUCUUGAAUUCCACCCUGCCAUGUGGAACUGUCCUCUGAGGUUUUCAGACUUACAUCAGCAAAUUCUUCCUUCAAACAGCUGGGGAAGCUGGCUUCCUAAACCUCUUGCUGGCAUCAUCAUAGAGCAUUAUGAAGCAUAAGAGAUAGAAACAGACACGGGGGGCACCGGGAUGCUUCUUUCUCUGUUGGCAGAACUCCAAGUGGCCAAUGCCUGACCCAAAGCCAAGGAGACACAGAGGGUGGAACUUCAGUUCAUAUGAUGCAAUGAAAGCUGCAGACCUGAGAUCUGAAAAAUCUGCACUCCAUGGUUUGAUUUGUAAAUUAACAUUAACGACAUCAUCACUCACUCUCUCAUGGCUUUCUAACUUAGACAACUGGCAAGAUAAAAAUGAACAUGAAAUGUUGAGAACAACCACCAAGAAAAGGCUAUAACCAUUGUUCACUGUCUUUCCUUUCAGCACAAUAAAAUAAAAGGAGAUUCCAUAAAAUAAUUUCACUUUGAUACCAUGCAUUGUGGGCAACCUCAUUCUGGCAUUUUCAUUCUGUGCCUCAUGUUGACAUUAUCGACAUGAGGGAGGGAGAGAGCUAUCUUCUUAAGGAAUGCUCACUAAAUAUUUGAAAUGAACAGUGAUGAGAUCAAGCAUUCAGCAACAGAAUUCAGCAUAGAAAAGCAGCUAUAGCACCAGUCCUGAAGUUAAUCAACCCUGGAUCCAACUCCUACUCCACUACUUAUUUGCUGUGUGACAAUAGAAAAGUUACUGAACUGUGAACUUCAUUUGUAAAAUGCAGAUACUAAUUCUUACCCUCUACCAUUUCUGGAAUAUCAAGUAAAAUUUGUAAUAGAACACUUGUACAUUGUAGAUAGUUAAUGAAUGCUUCUUGAAUGAAUAAAGUUAUUUUCAUUCGUCAGCUUUUUGAAAAAUACUUUAUUGGUUUUUCAUUACAACAGUAAUUGUAUUUGUCUGCUAUGGUUGCCAUAACAAAGUACCACAGAUUGGAUAGUUUAAACAACAGUAAUGUAUUGUCUCACAGUUCUGGAGGCUGGAAGUCCAAAAUCAAG
rnacentral:lncRNA from 10 species